CCUGGCAACAGAGGAGGAACAUUCAAAGGCACUACUACCCCAGAGGACAAUCCCUCUGGGGUUCCCAGCCCUUCCCUUCAGAGGUCCUCACUCUGCAAUCAGAACCAUGGGCAAGAGAGCUAAUGAUGCCUCUAAUGACUGUUGUGGUUUAAAUGAGAAGUGUUACCAAUUGGCUUAUGUUUCUAAAUACUUGGUCCUUUGUUGGUGAUGCUGUUUAGGGACAUCACAGAACCUUUAUGAGGUAGAGUCCUAAUGAAAAAAGUAUGUCAAUGGAGACAGGCUUUGAAAUUUACAGUUGUACUCAUUCCAUUUCUUGUUUUUUCUCUGUUUCCAAUUUGCAGAUAACGUGGUCAGCCAGUUUCUUGUUCCUGCUGCCAAUGCUUGUCUGUUGUUCAUCCCAAACAUGAUGGACUGGAUAUAUUCCCCCUAGAACUGGCUGGACUAACUCACUAUAUAUACAGCUCAGGAUGGCUGUGAACUCACGUCAAUCCCCCUGCCCCAGCCUAUCAAGCCUUAGGACCACAGGUAUAAGCCACCAUACUCCUGCUCUCCAUUCUCUUACACAUUCCCUUGCUCAAAUGUUUUACUAUAGCUAUUUUAAGACCUUGACAUGUGAACCUAUUUCUUUUAUAGCAGUAUUCCAUUUUCUUUGUGUAAGAGUUGGGAAAUUAGCACUAAGAACAUUAAAAAAGAAAAGAAAAGAAAAACAAACAAAAGAUCCUAAUGAGGCAUGAAUGAGUAUUGUGGCUGUUCUUACUUUAGUUACCAGAUACCCAUGGGGAAAUGACAGGAGCUUACAGAAAAACAAACAAAAAACCUCCAGUUAGAGAAUACAUAUAUAAAAGACCAACACCCAACUAAGUGGUUUCAUCUUCCCACAUUCCAUGUCAUGCCUCGCCAGGAGAAACACAUCCUACUAGUUACAUAGAAUCGGUGGAUGCCCCCCACUUAGUACAACCAAAUCUCUUCUGUAUUAUUAGAAUUAUCUGUGUAUGAACAUAAAUCAUUCACAAAUA